UACGGAGGGUGCGAGCGUUGUCCGGAAUCACUGGGCGUAAAGGGCGCGUAGGCGGCUGGGGAAGUCGGUGGUGAAAGCUCGUGGCUCAACUACGAGUCGGCCAACGAUACUCCUCGGCUCGAGCACUGUAGAGGCAGGUGGAAUUCCGGGUGUAGCGGUGGAAUGCGUAGAGAUCCGGAAGAACACCGGUGGCGAAGGCGGCCUGCUGGGGCGAGUGA
rnacentral:rRNA from 1 species